rnacentral:lncRNA from 1 species
GGGUUGGGGAUGGGAGUAGUGGUCGGGAAUGGGGAGCUGGACCUCGUGGGCUACCGGGGGGCUGUGCUUGGGUUUGUGUGCGGUUGCGUGUGCGUGUGCGUGUGCGUGUCCUAGGUCCUCCAGGGAAGGACCCGGAAGAAACCGGCCGAGGAAAAGGUCUCUAUGGGAGGUCAGGUACGCAGCUCUGUCAACUUGACGGGGCAGCCGGAGACAGGUGAGUAGAGAUACAUACACACUAGUUCAGGCACGACUGGUAACGCACACAUCGAUGCCUCCGAAGGUUCCGGGAUCGAGACGGGCCAAGGUCGAAAAUCCUUCCGGCGGUGGAAGGUAAGAGUGCCCCUAGUCGAUGGACGGUGGUGACCUGGGAUAAAGUAGACCUGCGGGCUGACCAGGAAUGGAGUUGAGCCGCCGUUGAUUCAGCAGAUUCCUUUGGAUGCCGGCGGUGGGUGCUGAACCUGAUCAAUCCACUGAGAAGUAGGCUAGAGUGACUGGAUGAGGGUGCAACGAGAUACCGGGGAAGGCAGGGUUUCGCCAGGUAGCGGCCACGGGUGAAGAUAUGGGCCCUCUGGCCUCCCCCCGGCCAUAUUUUUAGGUAUUUUCAGGCACUCCAGUCCGUGUGUGCCCCGCCUCCGGACGUACCUUCAGCGUCAUGGCUUCCUCGUGCAGUCCGGCGGCUUGGCAUGCCUGCCGUACAUCUGCAGUACUCACGGCCCGCCACGCCGCCGCCACCGCCACGUUGUCCUCCAGGGAGGUCCGGAAGACCCCGCACAUCGACCUGCCGCCACCGCCAGCCCGUUACCACCAGCGCCG